GCGCAAAUAAUGGUAAUAUAUAAAUUGGCUAUGAGGAUGGUUUUAGUACGUAGGCGUUGCGGAACUUCGGUUCAGAUAGAGCAAUGAAUCGUGCAUGCUAGGAAACUGAAGUGUUGACAGACCUAGUAUCUUUCGAUAGAUUUCCAUACCUCCGCGAUC
rfam:Drosophila sechellia strain Rob3c scaffold_11312 genomic scaffold, whole genome shotgun sequence.